CAGAUACAAACUAGGAGUACAGACCACGUCAACCGACUAGCUGACUACCCGCCUGCCUACCUGCCGAUCUACCUACUGACUUGGUUGAAUGAAUGAUAUCCACUAAUGAUAUCUGGUGAUGAUAUUCAGUAAUGACAUUUACCAAUAAUGUCUAUCGAUAUCUAGCAAUGGUAUCUAGCGAUGAUAUAUACCGAUGAUGAAAUAGAUCGAUGAUAUAUGAAUGAUGAUGUAUACCAAUGAUAUCUGCGAUGAUAUCUACAGAUGAUAUAUAAUUGUGGCCAUGACUCACCCACCAGUUGGCCCUUUGGGUGGGUCCCACCGCAACGAUAUUUUCAUUGCAAUGAUAUUUCUCUCAUUUAUUUUGUACUAUCUAUGUGGGAAAAGUCCCAAUAACCCUGUCUAUCUAUAGUAAAAAGCUCAUUAUCUACAUCCUCAGUACCUUCUUCAUCAGAAUGAUUCAAAAUAUUGGCAAUUUGCUGUUGUUGAGCUGCCUUCAUGCCUGAUGCUCAUGCUGCUGCUGCAAGCUCUUGUUGUAUUUGAUUGAUGAACUUUCAUGUAUCUUCUGCCUUAUAUUCUGCAAUUUGUCCUUUGGCAUUCUUGACAGUCAUUAUUUCUUCUAUAUUAAUCUGUCUUUGUGAUCUUUUUUCUUUUUGAUGUUGAUGAGCUGUAAGAAGUUGAUUGAGAUCUUGCUUGUGUUGAGCAUUGAGUUCUGUCUGUAUUAAACUCUCUGCAAAUAUAUUCUGAAGACAAUGACCCAACUUAGAAGAACUGUCAUUAAGAUAGUUCUCAAUAUUCUUCAAUGCCUCUUUUGCCUUUGUAAUAUCAUGUUGGAGAUCAUGUAUAUUCUUUGAUGAGGAGGCUAAAGAGGAUGAGAACUGCAAUUCUACACUCUUAUUGUCAUCUCAAAUCUG
rnacentral:sRNA from 1 species